UCUUCAGGGACGAGAGUCGAGAUGGCCACGAUCGCACCUAGGGAACCCGCCAGCGAUUCCCCAAAUUCCGCCUGGGAGUCGUUUUCACCGCCAAAACGCUACGCCAAACGCAGGCACGCCUAAUCGUUCACCAGCCGACCCUGAUGGACACCCUGAAGACCCUCCUCCGCAACUUAUACUCCUCGCGAAAUGCGACUUUGUGGAUACUUAAGGAAGCACGUGGCUCUUCAGGUUCUCUGGCAAAGUGUACGCACGGAUCCCGCGAUGAGCACCAUGAAGACUCUCUUCUUUUCACCCCUCGGCAUGAAACGAGUCUUUAUGGAGUUUUACACAUCUUGGCAUUCUACUUCGAGGACUCUUCAGGUUCUUCAUCAAGUCAGUGAAAAGCAGAAAUGGGGAUAAAGAUAAAGAUAAGGACCAGGAGAUCUGGCGACCGGGAGCAUCCGUCACUCGGUCUUCUGGCUGCAUCCAAAAUCUAAUAAGAGACCCUCCCCCAAGGCCUUUGGCCUUUCAUCGAGUGCACCGCCUGCAGCAAUAUACAUCUACAAGUCUCUACCUACUUCUACGUACAUCCAAUGGAUCCACCGAAAUACUUGCCCACCGUCGACGCUGCCAAUCCAUCCUACAAAUUAACGACCUAACCUAUACGCGAUCUCGUAACAAAAAGAGCGCCAUGCAUAUCUACAUGGAAAUAUCUUUUGCGUCGAACUAAGUGGUUUUGGAACACUCCAAAAAAUCUCUAAUGAUUAAAAUCGAUAGUCAUCUAUA